CCUACGGGAGGCAGCAGUGAGGAAUAUUGGUCAAUGGGCGCGAGCCUGACCCAGCCAAGUAGCGUGAAGGAUGACUGCCCUACGGGUUGUAAACUUCUUUUAUAAAGGAAUAAAGUGAGGCACGUGUGCCUUUUUGUAUGUACUUUAUGAAUAAGGAUCGGCUAACUCAGUGCCAGCAGCCGCGGUAAUACGGAGGAUCCGAGCGUUAUCCGGAUUUAUUGGGUUUAAAGGGAGCGUAGAUGGGUUGUUAAGUCAGUUGUGAAAGUUCCCGGCUCAACCGUACAAUUGCAUUUGAUACUGGCAGGCUAGAGUACAGUUGAGGUAGGUGGAAUUCGUGGUGUAGCGGUGAAAUGCGUAGAGAUCACGAAGAACUCCGAAUGCGAAGGCAGCUUAUUAAACUUCCACUGACAUUGAUGCGCGAAAGUGUGGGGAUCAAACAGGAUUAGAUACCCGAGUAGUC
rnacentral:rRNA from 1 species